rnacentral:lncRNA from 1 species
UAUUUCCAUGGAGCCGGUACUUCUCUAGCUUUAUUAUUAUUUAAAACACUUUUACUCUCCUUCCUUUUUUCUAUUUCAAGAGACUCUCUCACUAAGCUGUGUUUCAUGUUGUUUAUCCUUUUUAUUAACUUAGUGUCAUUCCAUUUUAUCUUGAUGUUUUUUGCAUAAAAUUCCCAUGUUAGGACUCUGUUGAUCUUUCCAUUCCUCAUGUCAUUCUUGUGCUCUUUGAGUCUUUGUCAAGAGUCCUUCCUGUCACCCCGAUGCAUUCUCUUUCUUGGCCCGUGUCUUUGUCUUCUAAUGGUAUGGUGUAUAUACCAACAUUUUCCAUGUCCUUUGACUUAUCCUUGCUAUUUCUCAAGCAUGUGAAAACUGUGGAAUUUCUUGUGAUGGCAGUCUUUUUGUUUGUUAAUCUUGCUGCUUUCUUAACCGCUGAUAGGUUGGCCAGGUGGUACGGCACUGUGGU